rnacentral:rRNA from 1 species
AGCUAACGCGUUAAGUCGACCGCCUGGGGAGUACGGCCGCAAGNUUAAAACUCAAAUGAAUUGACGGGGGCCCGCACAAGCGGNGGAGCAUGUGGUUUAAUUCGAUGCAACGCGAGAACCUUACCUACUCUUGACAUCCAGAGAACUUUCCAGAGAUGGAUUGGUGCCUUCGGGAACUCUGAGACAGGUGCUGCAUGGCUGUCGUCAGCUCGUGUUGUGAAAUGUUGGGUUAAGUCCCGCAACGAGCGCAACCCUUAUCCUUUGUUGCCAGCGGUUAGGCCGGGAACUCAAAGGAGACUGCCAGUGAUAAACUGGAGGAAGGUGGGGAUGACGUCAAGUCAUCAUGGCCCUUACGAGUAGGGCUACACACGUGCUACAAUGGCGCAUACAAAGAGAAGCGACCUCGCGAGAGCAAGCGGACCUCAUAAAGUGCGUCGUAGUCCGGAUUGGAGUCUGCAACUCGACUCCAUGAAGUCGGAAUCGCUAGUAAUCGUAGAUCAGAAUGCUACGGUGAAUACGUUCCCGGGCCUUGUACACACCGCCCGUCACACCAUGGGAGUGGGUUGCAAAAGAAGUAGGUAGCUUAACCUUCGGGAGGGCGCUUACCACUUUGUGAUUCAUGACUGGGGUGAAGUC